rnacentral:rRNA from 1 species
UACGGAGGGAGCUAGCGUUGUUCGGAAUUACUGGGCGUAAAGGGUGCGUAGGCGGUUCGUUAAGUCUGUCGUGAAAUCCCCGGGCUCAACCUGGGAAUGGCGAUGGAUACUGGCGAGCUAGAGUGUGUCAGAGGAUGGUGGAAUUCCCGGUGUAGCGGUGAAAUGCGUAGAGAUCGGGAGGAACAUCAGUGGCGAAGGCGGCCAUCUGGGACAACACUGACGCUGAAGCACGAAAGCGUGGGGAGCAAACAGG